rnacentral:rRNA from 1 species
UACAGAGGUCCCAAGCGUUGUUCGGAUUCACUGGGCGUAAGGGUGCGUAGGUGGCCAGGUAAGUUCGGUGUGAAAGCUCGGAGCUUAACUCCGAAAUGUCAUUGAAUACUAUCUGGCUGGAGGGUCGGAGGGGAGACUGGAAUUCUCGGUGUAGCAGUGAAAUGCGUAGAUAUCGAGAGGAACACCAGUGGCGAAGGCGAGUCUCUGGACGACUCCUGACACUGAUGCGCGACAGCGUGGGGAGCAAACAGG